AAUCCCCUGCGUUGUUUGUGAUUGAUAAGAUUCUUUGUUCCAACACGAUUUUAAAAGGGAACUUAACUUGGUAUCAAGAGUGAUUUCCGUCGAUUGUCAUGGAAACCCGAAGGUAUCAUAGAGUGCCCACCUUUAAACAAGGUUCAAAAGGUUUGUCAACACGGCAUUCUGUGGGGGCUUU
rnacentral:other from 1 species